GACGAACGCCGGCGGCGUGCUUAACACAUGCAAGUCGAACGGAAAGGCCCUGCGUUUGUGGGGUGCUCGAGUGGCGAACGGGGGAGUAACACGUGAGUAACCUGCCCUUGACUUUGGGAUAACUUCAGGAAACUGGGGCUAAUACCGGAUAGGAGCUCCUGCUGCAUGGUGGGGGUUGGAAAGUUUCGGCGGUUGGGGAUGGACUCGCGGCUUAUCAGCUUGUUGGUGGGGUAGUGGCUUACCAAGGCUUUGAUGGGUAGCCGGCCUGGGAGGGUGACCGGCCACAUUGUCACUCAGAUGCGGCCCAGACUCAUACGGGCGGAAUCAGUGGGGACUAUUGCACACUGGGCCGAAGCAUGAUGGAGCAACGCCGCGUGCGGGAUGACGGCUUUCGGGUUGUAACACGCUUUCGAGUGUGACGAAGCGUGAGUGCCGGUACUGGGUAAAGAAGCACCGGCUACUUCCGU
rnacentral:rRNA from 1 species